rnacentral:misc_RNA from 1 species
GACGAAGAACGCAGCGAAAUGCGAUAAGUAAUGCGAAUUGCAGAAUUCAGUGAAUCAUCGAAUCUUUGAACGCACAUUGCGCCCGCCAGUAUUCUGGCGGGCAUGCCUGUCUGAGCGUCGUUUCGACCCUCGCGCCCGGCUUCUGUCGGGGGCGGUGUUGGGGAUCGGCCACACCCUUCAGUGGGAGGCCGGCCCCUAAAUUCAGUGGCGACCACGCUGUAGCCUCCCCUGCGUAGUACUAAAACCACCUCGCAGGCGGAGAGCGGUGCGGCCCGCCGUAAAACCCCCCAACUUUUACAAGGUCGACCUCAGAUCAGGUAGGAAUACCCGCUGAACUUAAGCAUAUCAAUAAGCGGAGGA